GCGGAAGGGGGGAAGUGCUGUCCAACUCACUUUGGGAAGUGUGCGGAGCUUGGGCCUGCCCACCUCAUUCUCGGGAGGGAGGGGGUCUUAGUCUUGCUCAACUCGCACCGCCGAGGGCGGAGCUUGGGCUUGAACCUCAAGGGAGCUCGGGAGGUUUCCCUUCGUACUUAAGAUGUGCUCCCCUCCUACGCUGGGAUCUGCAUGGGAAGCAUCUGGGAGUCCUCUGACUCAGCCUGUGCUCUCCACACAGGGAUCCCUAAGGCCAUUGAGAUGGUCCAGGGGACAUCUGUUUUUACCAUGAAGACUUCUGAUUAGGCUUUUGACUCCCCACAAAAGUGCUGAAAAUUGAUGUGCCCUGUGGGCUUCUUCCAAGUAAAAGAAGACAGCCAGAAGUCUCCUAAGAAGUCGUGGAAGAUGAAAGCCUAAUCUACAGAGUUUGAUCAAUGAAUCAAUGAACAACUAUCACAAACAUAUAGUUAAUACAACUAUUCAUGAAUGUA